GGGGAAUUUUGGACAAUGGGGGAAACCCUGAUCCAGCCAUGCCGUGUGAGUGAAGAAGGCCUUCGGGUUGUAAAGCUCUUUCGGCCGGGACGAAAUCGCACGCGUGAAUAUCGCGUGUGGAUGACGGUACCGGCAGAAGAAGGACCGGCUAACUACGUGCCAGCAGCCGCGGUAAUACGUAGGGUCCGAGCGUUAAUCGGAAUUACUGGGCGUAAAGCGUGCGCAGGCGGUUUUGUAAGCCAGAUGUGAAAUCCCCGGGCUCAACCUGGGAACUGCAUUUGGGACUGCAAGGCUUGAGUACGGCAGAGGGGGGUAGAAUUCCUGGUGUAGCAGUGAAAUGCGUAGAUAUCAGGAGGAAUACCGAUGGCGAAGGCAGCCCCCUGGGUCGAUACUGACGCUCAUGCACGAAAGCGUGGGGAGCAAAC
rnacentral:rRNA from 1 species